GAUGAAGAACGUAGCGAAAUGCGAUAAGUAAUGUGAAUUGCAGAAUUCAGUGAAUCAUCGAAUCUUUGAACGCACCUUGCACCCUUUGGCAUUCUGAAGGGUAUGCUCGUUUGAGUGUCAUUGUACUCUCACACUCCCGAUCUUUGCAUUGGGAGCAGUGGACUUGGGUUUGCUGCUUCUCCGUCGCUUACCUCAAAUAGGUUAGUGCAACUCUUGGUUGGACAUAGUACGGCGUGAUAAGUGUUCUUCGCCGGUGCCUCGCAAAGAGGGUGGCCGAUCGGGAUGUUGUGCUCCAAACCGUCUUCGGACAAUCUCUGACGACUUGACCUCAAAUCGAGUAAGACUACCCGCUGAACUUAAGCAUAUCAAUAAGCGGAGGA
rnacentral:misc_RNA from 1 species